AGUGCUUGCACUCUCGACGCGAGUGGCGGACGGGUGAGUAACACGUGGGAAACCUACCUGUAAGUAUGGGAUAACAUUCGGAAACGGAUGCUAAUACCAUAUAGAUUUUAGUUCCGCAUGGAACUAAAAGAAAAGACGGCUUUGCUGUCGCUUACAGAUGGUCCCGCGGCGCAUUAGCUAGUUGGUGGGAUAAAAGCUCACCAAGGCCAUGAUGCGUAGCCGACCUGAGAGGGUAACCGGCCACACUGGGACUGAGACACGGCCCAGACUCC
rnacentral:rRNA from 1 species